rnacentral:rRNA from 1 species
CCUACGGGAGGCAGCAGUGAGGAAUAUUGGUCAAUGGACGAGAGUCUGAACCAGCCAAGUAGCGUGAAGGAUGACUGCCCUAUGGGUUGUAAACUUCUUUUAUAUGGGAAUAAAAUGUUCCACGUGUGGGAUUUUGUAUGUACCAUAUGAAUAAGGAUCGGCUAACUCCGUGCCAGCAGCCGCGGUAAUACGGAGGAUCCGAGCGUUAUCCGGAUUUAUUGGGUUUAAAGGGAGCGUAGGUGGAUUGUUAAGUCAGUUGUGAAAGUUUGCGGCUCAACCGUAAAAUUGCAGUUGAAACUGGCAGUCUUGAGUACAGGAGAGGUGGGCGGAAUUCGUGGUGUAGCGGUGAAAUGCUUAGAUAUAACGAAGAACUCCGAUUGCGAAGGCAGUUCACUGGACUGCAACUGACACUGAGGCUCGAAAGUGUGGGUAUCAAACAGGAUUAGAUACCCGGGUAGUC